GAAAACACUGAACACACUGAUGAGCCUAUUGUACAUUCUAGUAUCAGAUCCUUAGGUUUGUUGACUUUUACAUUUUGUUCAUGGUCUUGUAAAGCACAGUGUACCACUGCUGCACGCACUGCGAACAUUGAAUAUAGCAGUACGUCAUGUUCAAUGCUAUACUCUCAGGUAGAGAAAAUAAGCAGAUCCUGUAUUCUCACUAACCUGCAACAAGAGUUGCAAAGGAACCGUAUUUUCCAUAAUUGUAACAUAUUAGACCAUCCCGGACUGCAUCAGUGUCAUUGUUGUCUAUGAUGUGCCGUGCAGCCCUGCAGUCUCUCAGGAUGAUAGACUAAAAACAGCUGCAGCUCCCUGUUAGACUAGUCCUUUGUGGGAUACAACAGCAUGGCCGUGGAUCUUCAGAGGAAGCUUUUUGGUCUCGCUCCACUUCAUCUUCCUAAAGAAAGGACAUUUAAGUGAUAUUUUCAAACAGUCCACCAAUGAUGUAAAGCUGGUUCUUCUGUGACGCCAGGCUGACGUGGUUACGUGGCACCUGCUCUGACAUGGCCACCAGGAAGCACUCAUUCUCGCUGACAUCAUACGCCACUGCUGCUGUGUCAUUGAUCAUCACGAUGAAGUCACGUGCGUACAUGCCGUGUCUGCGGCUGUCAUUCAGGAACCCGGGGAAUGGGCUGUCCUCAUCUUCACCUCCUCCCUUGUUGGCCCCCUCCUCCCCUUCCUUCUUCUUGGGUUCCUCUGGAAGUUUCCCCUUGAAGGCAUCCCUGAUGAUCUGGAUUGUCUUCUGCAGCUCUGGGUCGGCCUUGAUGAUCUCAUCAGUCUCCACUCUGUCUUUGAAGUACUUCUCCGGCAGCAGGCGGAAGCGAAUGCAAUUGAAAGCAUCCUUCAGGACCUUGACGCGCUUCUCUCUGUCGUGGCGGACCCAGGCCAUGACUGCCUCAAAUACAAGCUCCUCCUUCUCCACAUUCAGCGAGUCUCCACCGAUGAUGGCGAACAGUUCGUGGGCUGCAAGCCUAAGGAACUCCUCGUCUUUGUAGAGGAGCUCAAAGCGGUCAGCGAUGUAGUUGCGUGCAGCCACAGCGAGCCUGGGACAGCUCAGCACCAAGCCCAUCCUGAAAAUGGCCAUGCAGUUGCCCAGGGACAGCUUCUUCUGAAGGUAGUUAACACACACCGUGAAGACAGAAGGGAUCUGGAAUCUGUUUGCCACAGCAAUUAUAUCCUGAACAUUGUCAUCAGUGAGGUCAAUCUCAGCCGAAUAGAGGUACUGGAUGAUCAUGUCUAGGAUGGAAGGGUUGACAUCCUCCAGGACCACCUCCUUGGUGUUCUCCACCUCCUUUCCAUCCUCUGUGAAGAAGAUCUCCCUGAAGUAUGGGCUACAGGCGGCCAUGAUCAGCCGAUGGCAGGGGAAGCUGCGGUCGCCUACCUUCAGGGUGCAGUCCACAAACUUGUUCUCAUUCAGCAGCUCCUUCAGCCCAUCCUGGAGCAGGGUGCUCUGAAACAGGCGCAGCUCCUCCUUGAUGGCGUUGGGGUCCAUGGUGUGUCAGGAGGGGAGACGGCGGGCGAACAAGGAGAGAGGAAGGAGAUGGCGGCCACAGGUCCUUUUGGUAGUUGGUCCUGGCUGGAAAAGGCAGAGCAGAGAAAAGGUUCCCAGUGUGAAGACCCUGCAAUUUAAUCCUGUCCCACUCUAAAUAUAGCUCCCUCUGCCCCCUGCCUGCUUCAGCUCCGGUGGAAUCUGACUGGGCCAAAUCAAAGCACAGCACAGGCCUCGGCUUGAGCAGCUGCUGUCACAGACUGAAAGAAGCAACUGGCUGCUCAGGCUUUGGAUAUGCACCAUGAUUCAGCUCCCAGAGUGUCACGUAGCACGCUAACAGAAGAGACAAUGCCGUCAAAGCCCUCAAAUAGCUCGCCUUGAACUGAACGUAUGACUGGGAGGAUAUUUACAGCAGUCGCUGUCAGAUUCAAAAGUAUGUGUAUUCACCUUUGCAUUUAUAUCUGUUUUUCAUUCAUUUAAUUUUUUCAUUAUUUCAGUCUAUUAAAGCUGAUUAAACUGUACUGAUUUGGUCUGUUGCUAACAUACACACCAAUUUCUUUACACCUUGCAAUCCAUACAGUGUUACUAAUCAACCAUGACGGUUAGUAUCUAUAAUUAUAAUCAUGAUACUUGUCACUACCAUAGAUGAUACUACGGCUGCGAAAAAUGUCCACCAAUAUUUUUCAGAACCUUAUGUACCCUCUUUAAUUUACUUGUUUCGAAUUACUUGUUCAACUAAUUUUCCAAGAUAUACUAUUUAUGUUUCAUUUACUGUAAUAUAUGACAAAGAAAAGCAAAAAAUACUCACAUCUGAGAACCUGGAGCCAGAAAAUGUUGGGUAUUUUUUUCUUGAAAAAUGACUGAAACAGUGAUACAAUUGUUGAUAAUUGUAGAUAAAUUUGAUUUUUUAAAAUAACCCUUGAGGAACUCUACAAAUGUUUUAAUUUUCAAAGUUCAAUAAAUAUUUUUUUGCUUUUA